UACGGGCGAGAGACCGAUAG
rnacentral:snRNA from 1 species